rnacentral:lncRNA from 1 species
UUCUGAAUUUGCCAAACGAUGAAACUCCAAUAGGGAUUAUCGGAGAAGAUGACCGGAGUGUUUCAAGUCAUCUGAGUUGGCUAUACAUGUUGGCAAUUUGAAAUGUUCUGAUUGGUCUAUUUUGAAUUCGAUUAUGUGUGUUUUUUUGCUGAUUUCCACCAUGCGCUCUAUCAUGAUAGUUGUUGGAUUUGUCACACCAAUUAAUGAGGCUAGAUCCAACGCUCCGUGUUUUUUCUGAUUUUAUUUCUUUUUCCUUUUUUAUUUUAAAUUUGCAUUUUCUUUUAAAAUUCAU